ACACUGCAGAUCCCCUGGGUAAAACAAGGCGUGUCACGGGAGCUGAGAUGGGACAAUGGCCACCUUGUCACUGCUUUCCAAGUCGAGUCUUUCCCUUCCAGGUGCUUCCAGAUCGAGGGGCAGGUUUUGCAGAUUACAUAUCACGAGGACACAAAGCACAGGAGUGCGGACAAAGACGUCACUAGAUAGGAGACAUACAGGUGACCUUUUCUCAGACAGACAUGAGUCCCAUAUCCCAGAAAGUGCCUGAGUGCCUGCAGCACCAUUCUGUAAAACGGACUUGGGAGGUCCUUCUGAGUUUGUGUCUCUAUCCCUCACACUUCUCAGGUAUAAUAAAACGGGCCUUAGACCCUCCCAUCAACACAAGACGGUGGAGAUGGUAUCCCAUGCCCCCAGUUCACUUCCUUACGUAUUUGAGACUGCAUGGGUGUGGCCAGGUCUUUUCUGCCCUGGCCUCCUUUAUUCUAAGGAAACCAAAGUGAGAUUUCUGUCCAAAGGCUUUUGCUCUAGGAACUGGAAUCCACAUUUCUCAUCCUUACUGGUGCUUUGAGCCUCCCAUGCCUGGAUAGAAUGAUCAAAAGCUUUGUGAAUGUUAAUGAGUCUAGCAUCUAUUUUUGAGGCAUUGGUACAAAUUGUCCUAAUUCUCGCAGCGGCCUCUGGAUAGCUAUCUUCAGAAUCACUAACCUAGGCUGCUGAGCCCAGAUCUCCAGCUCCUCACUCGGGAUCAGACUUCCCUUGUGUACUUCGGGGCAGUGGAUGACUACUGUUUUCUUGGACAUUUUUAUUCCUCCAUAAGUAUGUUAUUCAGAAUUUUAAGUCAGAAGUGCUGAAGGUGUAGCUCACUUGCUUAUUAGCUCAUGUGAGGGUCCUGGGUUCUAUUCUUGGUCCAGCUAAAGGAAUGAAAAUUGGCAAACGUGAAGGAUCUCUUUGGGUGGGUUCAGAGUCAAGCCAUCAGUUGUUAGCUGCGAAAGAAAUGGUUUUCCUCUUGAGGUCUUUACCUCUAGCUGACUCUUCAGACCCCCACAGGCAUGCCUGAGCUCAUCUAAGUUGCCUCUUGCUCACCCUGUCACAAUUCCUUCACCAUGAGUUUAUAACUUACUGGGUUUCAUACAUGGACAGUUAGGAAGAUGUGUGUUGAAGAGUUUUGUUCAUAUUUGCUGUUAUUUAUUUUGUAAAUUAAACAUGGAAAUGUAUUUUAAAAGUUUAUUUUGUGUUUAGCUGGUUAUUGUUCUUAGAUGAAUAAAAUGAGAACAUGGAGUUUAUGGCUUUUCCCUACUGACAGCUCCUCCAAGACACUUCACCCUCAGGAGCCCUCUGCUCAUUUCAUUAAAGGAGCCUGUUGAGAUGUCUACUGUGGGAUCUUGGUGUCUGUCUUACCCAGAACUAAUAAAAUCUGCAGUUUGUUCCUUUC
rnacentral:lncRNA from 1 species